CAAGACAGCAGUUCUCUGGUUUCCAGCAGAGAAAUUUUGAAGAAUAAGACAAGUUAUUCUUCACAAGCAAGAAAGUUGGGAAGAAAAUCCAGGGUUUGCGAUUUUCUGGGCGUUCAUUUAAGCAAGAGAAGAGAAGAGAAGAGAACGUUCGUUCGAGGUUGUGUUCGUUCGUUCGUUCGAGCAAGAGAAGAGAAGAGAAGAGGAGUAAAGAAAUUUAACUUCUUUAUAGGCACUUCUGGAGUGUAGGAGCUAACAUACAUUGUAGUUUGGUAGAUUUAAGCAGGACCUCCACUGGAUGAGAUGUCUAUAGCAUGCAUUUUGCGCGACUUGCUACAUGCCAUCGAAGACCUCCAUAAUGAAGGAAAGAUUCACAGAGAUAUUAAAGCUGCAAACAUUAUAUUGACAGAGAAUGGAGAUGUUAAGUGUAUAACGGGUUGCUGAUUUUGGUGUUUCUGCACAACUAACAAGGACAAUCUCGAGAAGAAAGACAUUUGUAGGAACACCAUUCUGAAUGGCUCCAGAAGUAAUUCCAAAUUCAGAUGGAUGCAAUGAGAAGCUGAUAUCUAGUAUUUGGGGAUAACUGCAAAUGAAAUGGCCAAAGGGGAACCUCCACUUGCAGAUCUCCACCCAGUGAGGGUUCUUUUCAUCAUUCCUCGAGAAAACCCCCCUCAGAGACCAAGUGCUAAGGAACUUCUAAAGCAUCGUUUUAUCAAGAAUGCUAGAAAAGGCCCCAGGCUAUUGGAAAGAAUAAGGCGAAUGAGUUCUUUUGCAAUUAGUGAUUUCCAUAACAUGUAUUUUGCAAUUAGUGAAUGAGUUCUUUUGCAAUUGACUUUUGCAAUUAGUGAUUUCCAACCUAUCCACGGCUGCUCUUAAAUUUUUUUGUUUUAUGUUAUUUUCUUCAAAGUCUUCUAGGUUUAUAAAAGUGGAGAAGCAAAAUCCACUUUCUCUACAUGGUAGGCAUGGCAAUAUGGAAUGCCUGCUUUACUUCUUUGGCUCUCUUUCUUCAUAAUAAAAGUUUCUAUAAAUAUAAUUAAUACUCUCAACAGAUUUUUAAUUGAUGAUAAUAUACAUCUACCUAGUUAUUAAUAUGGGUUCAAAUUGUUGGUAUGGUGGGUAAUCGGGUUCACUUUGAUAAACCCUAGAUUUGAGAAAGAAUUUGGAUGCAUGACUACAUGCCAAUUAAGGGUGGGUCGGUGUGGAAUUAAAAACUAAAACAGAGAAGCAAGUUUUUCUUCUUUUUUUUUUGCCUCUUUAAAAAAGAAGAAAAAACACCUUUUCCUAUUUCUAAAGUGUGGUCUGAGAAAACGUUUUCAUAAAAUGGUUAAUCAAACAUUAAGUGUUUUUAGAAAAAAAUAAAUUUCAGACUACAUGAUGCUGAUGUGGCACCAUUUUAGAAAAAUCGGCAUUGAUGCCAAACACCUACUAAAAAGAACUAAAUAACAAAUAAAACAGACAAGCAUCAAACAUCAUGUGCCCACGAUCCUCGAUACAAAGUUCUUUUUUUAGGCAUCCUUAGGAAAGACACGAAAAGGUGAGAGCCUGAGAUUUGAGGAAAAGUUGCAAUCACCAUAGAGAUGAUGCCUUUUUGUGUGGGUUUAUGCCCAUGGCCGACCUCACUCUUGGCUGCACAAAUAUAAGGAUUUUGUGCACUUUUCACUUUGCACUGUGGAGUGCCGACUACCGAGUGCUGCUGUCAAAAAGUACUGCAUCUAGGCACCGCGUUUCAGUUUUUUCAUGCAUUCUUCAUAGUUCUUACACGUAUAGACACACUCUUUCUCUCUCUGUCUUGAUUUAUAAGAAGGGAUGAGGUGAUGUGUUCAAAAAUCAAAACUCUAGAGUAGAAAAUUGAGAGGAAGAGAAGUAUCAAGUAGCAACUACUUGAGAUCAUAGUAAAAAAGUUGAGAAAAAAUGUAAAAACUGCAUCUGUUUGCCAUAUUUUUUGAUUUUGGAAAUUAAUGGUCAUUGGGCUUGAUGCAAAGGCUCCUCCCAAGAAAAGCUUUGGAUUGCAAAUUUGCAAUAAGUAACCUUGGGUUCUGUAGAGUUUUUAUUUGCUCUUGUUUGAAAAUUUUAAUUUUCAAAUUAUAUUUUAUCCAAGUUAUAGCUAAUAACUAAGAACUUCUGUGAAAAUCAUUUAUUUUGCUCUGUUG